CUCUCAUAAAAGCCGUAUAUGAAAAUAACUACAGCAAGGGGAUUAAAUAGAAUUCAUCUUUUGGAGAAGCCUAUUUAAAAAAGAAGAAGAAUCUUCAUUAGAGACCUUUGCCUGACUCCUAAAUCCUUGGUUAAUGAGUUAAUAGUUCUGUUCAAAUUGCUUAUAUGAUCUUGAUUUAACUUUGGGAGGUGGUGUAUAUCGAGAAGGUUAUCCAUUUCAUCUGUUUUCUGAUUUGGACUGGCCUCCUUCAUGUGCUCUAGCAGCUCGUAGAUGGGGUGGAUGUUUGAGUGAGCCAACACAAAGCCCUGGAUCUGGGCCUGAAUGGAAGCUGAAUUGGUUAGACCACCAGUUCUCCUAUAUCCACAUCACCAAAACCAGCUCUCCUACUGUGC